GCCAGACUCCUACGGGAGGCAGCAGUGGGGAAUAUUGGGCAAUGGGCGCAAGCCUGACCCAGCAACGCCGCGUGAAGGAAGAAGGCUUUCGGGUUGUAAACUUCUUUUGACAGGGAAGAGCAGAAGACGGUACCUGUCGAAUAAGCCACGGCUAACUACGUGCCAGCAGCCGCGGUAAUACGUAGGGAGCAAGCGUUAUCCGGAAUUAUUGGGUGUAAAGGGUGCGUAGACGGGACAGCAAGUUAGUUGUGAAAGCCCUCGGCUUAACUGAGGAACUGCAACUAAAACUAUUGUUCUUGAGUGCAGGAGAGGAAAGCGGAAUUCCUAGUGUAGCGGUGAAAUGCGUAGAUAUUAGGAGGAACACCAGUGGCGAAGGCGGCCUGCUGGACUGCAACUGACGUUGAGGCCCGAAAGCGUGGGGAGCAAACAGGAUUAGAUACCCGUGUACG
rnacentral:rRNA from 1 species